rnacentral:ribozyme from 14 species
UGUCAGAUCCGUAACGACGGGAUAAAGAAAAGAACAGUCAAUGAAGGACAUGUUCUUCUUCCAAAUGAGUCUAAUUAAAAUGAAUGACACGGAACG